ACCUGAAACCGUGUGCUUACAAGUAGUCAGAGCCCGUUAAUGGGUGAUGGCGUGCCUUUUGUAGAAUGAACCGGCGAGUUACGAUUUGAUGCAAGGUUAAGCAGUAAAUGUGGAGCCGUAGCGAAAGCGAGUCUGAAUAGGGCGUUUAGUAUUUGGUCGUAGACCCGAAACCAGGUGAUCUACCCUUGGUCAGGUUGAAGUUCAGGUAACACUGAAUGGAGGACCGAACCGACUUACGUUGAAAAGUGAGCGGAUGAACUGAGGGUAGCGGAGAAAUUCCAAUCGAACCUGGAGAUAGCUGGUUCUCUCCGAAAUAGCUUUAGGGCUAGCCUCAAGUGAUGAUUAUUGGAGGUAGAGCACUGUUUGGACGAGGGGCCCCUCUCGGGUUACCGAAUUCAGACAAACUCCGAAUGCCAAUUAAUUUAACUUGGGAGUCAGAACAUGGGUGAUAAGGUCCGUGUUCGAAAGGGAAACAGCCCAGACCACCAGCUAAGGUCCCAAAAUAUAUGUUAAGUGGAAAAGGAUGUGGCGUUGCCCAGACAACUAGGAUGUUGGCUUAGAAGCAGCCAUCAUUUAAAGAGUGCGUAAUAGCUCACUAGUCGAGUGACACUGCGCCGAAAAUGUACCGGGGCUAAACAUAUUACCGAAGCUGUGGAUUGUCCUUUGGACAAUGGUAGGAGAGCGUUCUAAGGGCGUUGAAGCAUGAUCGUAAGGACAUGUGGAGCGCUUAGAAGUGAGAAUGCCGGUGUGAGUAGCGAAAGACGGGUGAGAAUCCCGUCCACCGAUUGACUAAGGUUUCCAGAGGAAGGCUCGUCCGCUCUGGGUUAGUCGGGUCCUAAGCUGAGGCCGACAGGCGUAGGCGAUGGAUAACAGGUUGAUAUUCCUGUACCACCUAUAAUCGUUUUAAUCGAUGGGGGGACGCAGUAGGAUAGGCGAAGCGUGCGAUUGGAUUGCACGUCUAAGCAGUAAGGCUGAGUAUUAGGCAAAUCCGGUACUCAUUAAGGCUGAGCUGUGAUGGGGAGAAGACAUUGUGUCUUCGAGUCGUUGAUUUCACACUGCCGAGAAAAGCCUCUAGAUAGAAAAUAGGUGCCCGUACCGCAAACCGACACAGGUAGUCAAGAUGAGAAUUCUAAGGUGAGCGAGCGAACUCUCGUUAAGGAACUCGGCAAAAUGACCCCGUAACUUCGGGAGAAGGGGUGCUCUUUAGGGUUAACGCCCAGAAGAGCCGCAGUGAAUAGGCCCAAGCGACUGUUUAUCAAAAACACAGGUCUCUGCUAAACCGUAAGGUGAUGUAUAGGGGCUGACGCCUGCCCGGUGCUGGAAGGUUAAGAGGAGUGGUUAGCUUCUGCGAAGCUACGAAUCGAAGCCCCAGUAAACGGCGGCCGUAACUAUAACGGUCCUAAGGUAGCGAAAUUCCUUGUCGGGUAAGUUCCGACCCGCACGAAAGGCGUAACGAUUUGGGCACUGUCUCAACGAGAGACUCGGUGAAAUCAUAGUACCUGUGAAGAUGCAGGUUACCCGCGACAGGACGGAAAGACCCCGUGGAGCUUUACUGUAGCCUGAUAUUGAAAUUCGGCACAGCUUGUACAGGAUAGGUAGGAGCCUUUGAAACGUGAGCGCUAGCUUACGUGGAGGCGCUGGUGGGAUACUACCCUAGCUGUGUUGGCUUUCUAACCCGCACCACUUAUCGUGGUGGGAGACAGUGUCAGGCGGGCAGUUUGACUGGGGCGGUCGCCUCCUAAAAGGUAACGGAGGCGCUCAAAGGUUCCCUCAGAAUGGUUGGAAAUCAUUCAUAGAGUGUAAAGGCAUAAGGGAGCUUGACUGCGAGACCUACAAGUCGAGCAGGGUCGAAAGACGGACUUAGUGAUCCGGUGGUUCCGCAUGGAAGGGCCAUCGCUCAACGGAUAAAAGCUACCCCGGGGAUAACAGGCUUAUCUCCCCCAAGAGUUCACAUCGACGGGGAGGUUUGGCACCUCGAUGUCGGCUCAUCGCAUCCUGGGGCUGUAGUCGGUCCCAAGGGUUGGGCUGUUCGCCCAUUAAAGCGGUACGCGAGCUGGGUUCAGAACGUCGUGAGACAGUUCGGUCCCUAUCCGUCGUGGGCGUAGGAAAUUUGAGAGGAGCUGUCCUUAGUACGAGAGGACCGGGAUGGACAUACCUCUGGUGUACCAGUUGUCGUGCCAACGGCAUAGCUGGGUAGCUAUGUGUGGACGGGAUAAGUGCUGAAAGCAUCUAAGCAUGAAGCCCCCCUCAAGAUGAGAUUUCCCAACUUCGGUUAUAAGAUCCCUCAAAGAUGAUGAGGUUAAUAGGUUCGAGGUGGAAGCAUGGUGACAUGUGGAGCUGACGAAUACUAAUCGAUCGAAGACUUAAUCAA
rnacentral:rRNA from 1 species